rnacentral:rRNA from 1 species
UGGCUCAGGAUGAACGCUGGCGGUAUGCAUUAUACAUGCAAGUCAUACGGGAAUCUUCGGAUUCUAGUGGCGGACGGGUGAGUAACACGUGAGAAUUUGCCCUUAGGAGAAGGAUAACAGAUGGAAACGCCUGCUAAUACUUCAUAUUGCUGAAAAGUGAAAUGGGAAACCGCCUAAGGAAAAGCUCGCGCCUGAUUAGCUAGUUGGUGGGGUAAUAGCCUACCAAGGCUACGAUCAGUAGCUGGUUUGAGAGGAUGAUCAGCCACACUGGGACUGAGAUACGGCCCAGACUCCUACGGGAGGCAGCAGUAGGGAAUUUUCCGCAAUGGGCGAAAGCCUGACGGAGCAAUACCGCGUGAGGGAUGACAGUAAAUAAAUUGUAAACCUCUUUUUUCAGGGAAGAAGAUAUGACGCAAACUGAAGAAUAAGCAUCGGCUAACUCCGUGCCAGCAGCCGCGGUAAUACGGAGGAUGCAAGCGUUGUCCGGAAUCAUUGGGCGUAAAGCGUCUGCAGGUGGUUUAGAAAGUCUGCUGUUAAAGCCUAGGGCCUAACCCUAGAUCAGCAGUGGAAACUCCUAGACUUGAGCAUGAUAAGGGUAGAGGGAAUUUCCAGUGUAGCGGUGAAAUGCGUAGAUAUUGGAAAGAACACCAGUGGCGAAAGCGCUCUACUAGGUCAUAGCUGACACUCAGAGACGAAAGCUAGGGGAGCAAAUGGGAUUAGAUACCCCCAGUAGUCCUAGCCGUAAAC